GGUCCCGUAGCUCAGUUGGAUAGAGCAUCAGAUUCCUAAUCUGAGGGUCGCAGGUUCAAUUCCUGCCGGGAUCA
rnacentral:tRNA from 1 species